AACAGGAUUAGAUACCCUGGUAGUCCACGCCGUAAACGAUGUCGACUUGGAGGUUGUGCCCUUGAGGCGUGGCUUCCGGAGCUAACGCGUUAAGUCGACCGCCUGGGGAGUACGGCCGCAAGGUUAAAACUCAAAUGAAUUGACGGGGGCCCGCACAAGCGGUGGAGCAUGUGGUUUAAUUCGAUGCAACGCGAAGAACCUUACCUACUCUUGACAUCCAGAGAACUUAGCAGAGAUGCUUUGGUGCCUUCGGGAACUCUGAGACAGGUGCUGCAUGGCUGUCGUCAGCUCGUGUUGUGAAAUGUUGGGUUAAGCCCCGCAACGAGCGCAACCCUUAUCCUUUGUUGCCAGCGGUUAGGCCGGGAACUCAAAGGAGACUGCCAGUGAUAAACUGGAGGAAGGUGGGGAUGACGUCAAGUCAUCAUGGCCCUUACGAGUAGGGCUACACACGUGCUACAAUGGCAUAUACAAAGAGAAGCGACCUCGCGAGAGCAAGCGGACCUCAUAAAGUAUGUCGUAGUCCGGAUUGGAGUCUGCAACUCGGCUCCAUGAAGUCGGAAUCGCUAGUAAUCGUGGAUCAGAAUGCCACGGUGAAUACGUUCCCGGGCCUUGUACACACCGCCCGUCACACCAUGGGAGUGGGUUGCAAAAGAAGUAGGUAGCUUAACCUUCGGGAGGGCGCUUACCACUUUGUGAUUCAUGACUGGGGUGAAGUCGUAACAAGGUAACC
rnacentral:rRNA from 1 species